rnacentral:rRNA from 1 species
UACGGAGGGUGCGAGCGUUAUCCGGAUUCACUGGGUUUAAAGGGUGCGUAGGUGGGGAUGUAAGUCAGUGGUGAAAUCUCCGUGCUUAACACGGAAACUGCCAUUGAUACUAUGUUUCUUGAAUUUUCUGGAGGUCAGCGGAAUAUGUCAUGUAGCGGUGAAAUGCUUAGAUAUGACAUAGAACACCAAUUGCGAAGGCAGCUGGCUACAGGGAUAUUGACACUGAGGCACGAAAGCUUGGGGAUCAAACAGG